UGGGAAAUAGUGCGAGAAAAUUACGAGGGAUAGCCACGCAACGAACCAAAGCGUAAUUGAAUUGAUGCUCUUCCUUCCCUUUUCUUCUACCUCCAAUCCAUAUCUUGUUUCGCAAAAUUCUCAAUUUUUAUCCUUUUUUGUUUUUUGUUUAUAUAUUCAAAAGCCAAACAAAAUCAUAGGUUGAAAGGCUGAGAAAGGAGAAGGGGAGAGAUGAUAACGCGAUCGAAUUUAGCUGAGCAAUUGAGGGAUUAUCAGCUUCGGUCUAAGCAUGAUUGGGCUUCCGUUUCGUUUUUCUCAUCAACGUCCAAUCUCUCAUCUUAUAGGGUUGAUGUUAUGGUCUUUGUUAUAUGGGAACUCGUCAUUUUAGCUUUCCUUGUUUUUACAGCCAUUUCUUUAUAUUUUAGGCAUAUGCAACUUGCCUUUAUCCUAGUAUGCAUCACAAUGUUAUUGCUUCUCUGCAUGAAAAUCACGAAGCAAGUGAGGUUGGCCAGGAAGAGGAAAAGAAGGAUGCUUCUUCCAUUAUCCAUUUAGAACUACAUGAAGGUUGAAUGAGUUUUAAUGCCAUGGUGCCUGGAACUAGCUGAUGAAGGAUUACGAUUUGAUGUGAUUGCCUGGAAGAAAGAAAAAAAAAGCAGAACCAAGCUCAGUUGAUUUACAACAGAUCAAAUGGUAUUCGGGACUUCAAGUUUCCCUGCUGUUGGAAGAGUUAAAUUCCUGCAAAUUUGGCCUUAUUUGGUUUAACAAUAGAUUUUCACAGAUAUAUGUAAAGAUAAAGAUAUGCCACUGUUGCACGUUUGGUUCACUAUAAUGGAAUAGGGGUGGGGUAGAAUGUUAUCCUGUAGGAAUUAAAUAGGUUGUAAUAAGUACGAGUCUUUCGGUUGGAUUGAAUGGAAUAGAUAUGUAAUAUGAAUUUAGAUUAUGGAUAAUGAGUGAUUCAGUAAACCAGGCCUUCGAAUUAUUGUUGAUCAUUGA